rnacentral:rRNA from 1 species
UGCCUACGGGACGCAGCAGUGGGGGAUAUUGCACAAUGGGGGAAACCCUGAUGCAGCGACGCCGCGUGAGUGAAGAAGUAUUUCGGUAUGCAAAGCUCUAUCAGCAGGGAAGAAAAUGACAGUACCUGACCAAGAAGCCCCGGCUAACUACGUGCCAGCAGCCGCGGUAAUACGUAGGGAGCAAGCGUUAUCCGGAUUUACUGGGUGUAAAGGGCGUGUAGGCGGGCAUGCAAGCCAGAAGUGAAAUCUGGGGGCUUAACCCCCAAACUGCUUUUGGAACUGCGUGUCUUGAGUGAUGGAGAGGG